CCCUAUGGGGUGCCGUGCGCUCUUUCUCCCCAUGGCUGUCAAUACACGGAAGGUCUGGACGGACGAAGGCAUCCGCUGGAUCGGAGACACGGUCAUCGCCCUCGCGCCCAUCAAUGCCACCACCACGAGCCGGCUCUUGAACACAUUCCAGCACGUUCGAAAGCUCAAACCAGAACUGAGAGAAAAAGUCGUCCCGAUCCUGGAGGAGAUUGUGGAAAGGGUUUCCCCGGAGGUCAGUCCAACCAUUCAUGGGCAGGCGAGCGCCUACUUAAGAUCCUAACUGAGCCGCGUGCCGCAGUGGGGGCACUUGUCAGGGUUGACGGUGACCCCCAUGUAAUAUUUGGCGUGGCCCCUGGGAAGUUCAUUGCAGACGGGGCAUUUGAAUUGGCGGGAGGGC
rnacentral:rRNA from 1 species